rnacentral:rRNA from 1 species
AGUGAACGCUGGCGGUAGGCCUAACACAUGCAAGUCGAACGGCAGCACAGUAAGAGCUUGCUCUUACGGGUGGCGAGUGGCGGACGGGUGGGGAAUACAUCGGAAUCUACUUUUUCGUGGGGGAUAACGUAGGGAAACUUACGCUAAUACCGCAUACGACCUACGGGUGAAAGAAGGGGAUCUUCGGACCUUGCGCGAAUGAAUGAGCCGAUGCCGGAUUAGCUAGUUGGCGGGGUAAAGGCCCACCAAGGCGACGAUCCGUAGCUGGUCUGAGAGGAUGAUCAGCCACACUGGAACUGAGACACGGUCCAGACUCCUACGGGAGGCAGCAGUGGGGAAUAUUGGACAAUGGGCGCAAGCCUGAUCCAGCCAUACCGCGUGGGUGAAGAAGGCCUUCGGGUUGUAAAGCCCUUUUGUUGGGAAAGAAAAGCAGCAGGUUAAUACCCCGCUGUUCUGACGGUACCCAAAGAAUAAGCACCGGCUAACUUCGUG